UACGUAGGUGGCAAGCGUUGUCCGGAAUUAUUGGGCGUAAAGCGCGCGCAGGCGGCCUCUUAAGUCUGAUGUGAAAGUCCCCGGCUCAACCGGGGAGGGCCAUUGGAAACUGGGAGGCUUGAGUAUAGGAGAGAAGAGUGGAAUUCCACGUGUAGCGGUGAAAUGCGUAGAGAUGUGGAGGAACACCAGUGGCGAAGGCGACUCUUUGGCCUAUAACUGACGCUGAGGCGCGAAAGCGUGGGGAGCAAACAGG
rnacentral:rRNA from 1 species